rnacentral:rRNA from 1 species
AUUGAACGCUGGCGGCAUGCUUUACACAUGCAAGUCGAACGGUAACAGGCCGCAAGGUGCUGACGAGUGGCGAACGGGUGAGUAAUGCAUCGGAACGUGCCCAGUCGUGGGGGAUAACGCAGCGAAAGCUGCGCUAAUACCGCAUACGAUCUCUGGAUGAAAGCGGGGGACCGAAAGGCCUCGCGCGAUUGGAGCGGCCGAUGUCAGAUUAGGUAGUUGGUGGGGUAAAGGCCCACCAAGCCAACGAUCUGUAGCUGGUCUGAGAGGACGACCAGCCACACUGGGACUGAGACACGGCCCAGACUCCUACGGGAGGCAGCAGUGGGGAAUUUUGGACAAUGGGCGCAAGCCUGAUCCAGCAAUGCCGCGUGCAGGAAGAAGGCCUUCGGGUUGUAAACUGCUUUUGUACGGAACGAAACGGUCCGGGUUAAUACCCUGGGCUAAUGACGGUACCGUAAGAAUAAGCACCGGCUAACUACAUGCCAGCCGCCGCUGUAAUAC